UGUUUUCUAUUGAGAAGCUUGAGAAAGACCAGAGAUGGUUGAAACGUUGCUUUCUGUAUGCUGCUGUUACCACUAAAGUAACCGGCUUUUUCACCAGAACUGAGGAGUGCUGUGGAUUUUCUAUUUAUUU